AUUGAACGCUGGCGGCAGGCCUAACACAUGCAAGUCGAACGAGGGGCGGACGGGGUAGAAAUGCCUGGGAAAUGGCGUGAGGGAGGGGAUAACUACUGAAAACGGUACCUAUACCCGAAUACCUUCAGAUUUGCCCAGUUGGGAUUAGCUAGUUGUUGGGGUAACGGCUCACCAAGGCGACGACCCCUACCUGGUCUGAGAGGAUGACCAGCCACACUGGAACUGAGACACGGUCCAGACUCCUACGGGAGGCAGCAGUGGGGAAUAUUGCACAAUGGGCGCAAGCCUGAUGCAGCCAUGCCGCGUGUAUGAAGAAGGCCUUCGGGUUGUAAAGUACUUUCAGCGGGGAGGCGUUACCCGCAGAAGAAGCACCGGCUAACUCCGUGCCAGCAGCCGCGGUAAUAC
rnacentral:rRNA from 1 species